rnacentral:rRNA from 1 species
CGGGAGCACUAAGAAAGAGAAAGCUAGACAGGGGAGGCAGCAAUAAUCGAGAGGGCUGCGGAAGAGGUGAGGAUUAGCGGUAAUGUUAGGAGAAGGCGGCGGCGGCGAAUCUGGAGCGGGGCAGCUUUGGUUCGCUAGGUCUUGGUGUGGCGGCUGGCAUUGUUUUUGUUCUAGGCGGCGAUCCGGAUGCCAGUUGUAGUAGCCGCCUAGAUCCGCUGGGGUACCGGCCGCGGGGACUUAGCGCACCGAGACCGCAGGCGGCGUAUGGUAACUCCGCGCAAACCCGCAGUUGAAGUUCAAGAAGAACGGGAACGACGACGCUGUUAAGAGUGACCCCCUCCUUCCUGUUUUUUCAACAUCGCUUCGACUUCGAGCUGGAGAAACAGUUUAGGAACUUCAGACCUCGGUACAAUCCACUACGCAACCCCCUACUACUAGUCUCACACAGGCCACUAAGGUACAGACUUACCGCCAGGACGCUGGUCUAGCUGUUACCCUCGGGCAGCUGCAGGGGAGGGAAGACCCUGUGACUACCGCUUCUACUACUAGGACCCGGGACAGGAAGUUUAAAUAAGCCCGCUGUAUGAACCUCUUAAGUCUUGAAGAGUUUCCUCUUCUUCUCUCUUUACUUUUCACUUGGUAAACUUCGACCACCAAAAUUCACCAUAUAAGAUCAAAUGGGAGUUCCCACACUACAGAGGUUAGUGAACAGUGACAAAGAUACACAACGACUAGUACUGUUUGAGGAAGGUCCUACCUCGGUCAAACGUGUCAAGUGGUAUCGACACCCGUUAGAACUAGGAUUCUUUCAAUUUAUAAGACUGUGGAACGUGUUUAAGACCUUCUUCCUCGUACUAACCCCUACCUUCUUCAAGUACCUCAACAGUUUCUAGGUUCUACCAAAAGAACAAUUACUACAAGAGCUUUAGUAUCGGGUUCAAGUUCAAUAAUCCCUCUUUCACCUGGCGGGCAAAGCAACGGAACUCGCAGGAAUAGCUGCUCUUAAUGAGGCACAGAUAUACUGUUUAUAUCUCGUUUAAAUAGCAGCGAAACAACUUCUUGUGUCUUCAUUUGAAUCGUUGGAGUAACUCCUGUUUUACUCUACCAGGCCAAAAACACGAAAGACCGAACGUUAACUGUGUUCGUGUUCUAUAGCGUACAGGUCUCUCUUCUCGCUGCAGUAUAACUUUUAUUAACACUUCGUAAAGAAACAUCUCUUUCUCCAGUGAAGUUGUGAUCAAUACCUGAGGGACGUAUGCCCCGACUUCCGUGAACUCGUGGUCACGUCCCCUUUCUUUCCAUCUCCUUUUAAUUACCUGAACCUCCUCAAUAGACGCGGAUACCAGGUACAACUGUACCUGUGUAAACGAAAUCGACCACUACAGGAUCGAAACGAACUCUCCCGUCGAAAUCUUGGGAACGGAACAGUUGGAGAUAGAGGUUUCCUACUGUUUACAAGGGUCUCGGCGUGAUUCCGACCAUCAAGACCGCUUCAAUUUCAAAGUUAACUCGUACUUCUUUUCGCGGAUUGACUCAAACCAGUCUUCUAUGAACUUUGUAAACGAGAUAGAGUAUAUAAAUCACCCUAACUCCAGCGAAUAGUUCUUCGACAGAGAAACUUCUCCGUUCUUCUCGAAUAAGCACUUCUCCUUCUUCGACCCGAGGAACUUUCACUCUACUUCCCCUUCGCGUUGUUAUGGUGACUUUUCCUCUUCGCACGUUUCUUUUUUGUCCGGUUUGUUUUUUUCUUGUUAGCCUUCCAAUUUCUGUUCCUAUCUCUCCUUUUUAGACUAAGUUUAAAACGUCUCUUCCUAGUUCUACUUUCGUGUUAAGUACUAUCACUCCUAAGAUUCGUCCGUCCUGUUCAUCGGUACUUUCAACUAUGGAGGCUUCUUCCACGAAGUCUGUAGAGUCUGUUAAAUCUACCUAGUCGACUCCGUACAGUUUGACUACGUCCACUGUUUUAACGUGUUGGACACUUACCCCAGUUACUACAACCAUAACUCUGCUUUUUACACGUAUGACCCUUCUUGAGAUGACACCUCGUGUUCGGUGACGGCACAAAUAGCCUUAGACGAUGAUACUUGUAAUACGUUCCGUUUUCUUUAUUGAACGAUCUGUCAAGACCAGUCUUUAGUGAAGUAUCUCCCUUUUGAGUUGCCUGCUCCCAGUAUUCGUCGUUCUUGCAAGGGUUUCUACUCCUACUAGAGGGGAGAUCGUGAUGUCCACCAAGUCUGGCGUUAUGUAGACCGACACCUGGUCGUGGUUUCGGACUAGUCCUCUGACAAGAUUAGUGGAAUUUUCUAUUCGAAGCCUUCGAACCCUGUGCGGAUGUACUCUUCCUUUUACUCCCGUCCUUUGAUCUCCCUGUAAACCUUUUCUUUCGUCGUCGACUCCGUCACAGGAGUAGUAGGAGUAGGUCAAGAAACCUUUUCUGAGGAUUACAACACUUGUCUGGUCUCGUUGGAAGGCACUGAUCAGGACUACGUUCAUACAUACGUGGUGGAGUAAGAGUUGGACAUUAGUGGUUACCACGAUUACCUCGGUAAGGUCGUUUCGGGUUUUGGUGACAUUCGUGUUUUAGACCUGGAUGACAACGAGGUUCAUUCCAGUUUGGUCGAAACUUAGACUUUUAUCUAUCUCGAUGAAGUCAGUGGGGUUCUAGCGACGGUCAACUAUUUCGACGAUGUGAAGGAAGUUCGAACAGCGAUCGUUUGUUUCGAUAAGGUCAAGGGGGGGUUAGCAGACGUGGUACCCAACGAUUCCGGCGUUUUCCAUAAGGUCGGGGGGGUUUUGGCAGACGUGUCCGAUUAUUCCAAUGAUUUCGACGAGGUCAAGGGGACUUCAGUGGAUGUGGUGUCCAACUUUUUCAACGAUUUCGAUAAGGUCGAGACAGAUUAAGUGGACGUGGAGUCCAAUUAUUCCAGCGCGGUGGAUUACGUCGCGAUGCCGUCAACGGAAACCACAGAAUAAGUCUUCGAGCUUUUUCACGUCAAGGAUUUUUCUAACAACCGUGAAGACAAGGCGCUUGAAGAUGACGUCAUAGUUCCGGAAGUUCACGAGGAGACAAGGUCCAUGGUUCCAGUUGAAACGGUGGGUAUGGGCCUCGAGUUCAAGGGGGUAGUGUCAGUGCAAGCAACUGACGUAGAUCUGCUAGGUCGUUACUCGGGAGACGAGGACACGGUUCAAUACAUGGCGUCAGGAUGGCUUUACGGUAGUAGCCAUUCCCAUCAGAACUAUGAUGGAACAGUUCAAGACUAUUCCAUUGGAGAUGUCCGGUUUCGCUACGCUAAAGAGUCGGUGAUAGUCGUAUACGUAACCCUUGUAGACGGUACAACGGAGGACAACCUUCCUUACCGGUCAAUGGGCCAUUAGUUCCUAAGUAUAGACCCGUCCCGUUCAACCUAUGGGAACUAUCGACCGUGGGUACCUUUCCAUAAUCACUACGAUUUCUUGUGUACGGCUCCCUACUAUGAUGUAUGGUUGUCUACUGGUUACCACUACGCGCGUAUGCGGGUACCUCACUGUUAAGAAUAGUCGUUCGUUCGUUGUCACCUUGUCUUCUUGUUCCGUCUAAACCCCCUUAAGUUGUAUCCGUCAAGGUCUCACUCUAAGGAUGUUUAAAACUGAGUGUGGUCGACGUCCCAAGUCACCCCCUCCUUAAGGGCGUAGAACCGUAGUAGUUACUGAAUGAACUCCUCCUUGUUUCGUUACACUCGUACCUUCUCGGAGGAUAGGUACUUAUGGUAGGUAAACCGAACGGUAAAAGAGGGCCUCCGUUGAAGCGUCUCCGACUGUACUGAAGCAGUUCAUCAAGACCGGUCAACUUGAACUUGCCGGUAAUGAUACUGUCCGACUUACGAGAUGUGUCCGACCCUCUCCCCGUUAAAAGGUGUAACCCACGAAUAAGGUUACCUUACCGCCUGAGAAAAAGUAGGUUCGGAACCGACAUAUCGAUAGGAUUAGGUUACCACUUAGGACCUCAAUUGCCCAAAAGUGUCGUCUACCCCCUGAUGUGGUUAAUACGUUCACCCUCUCGCUUACUCCUUAUGUACAUAGCGGCACGGUUGCCAGUUACCACUACGAACAUAAUGUGGUUAAAGGUAUUACUUACGACGAACAUUCAACAUUGGCUUGUACCACGUUCAGGUUCCAAGCGAGUUGGCAUUGAAGAGUAAGGUUUUCCUCUCUUCUUUUUUCCUAUGUAAUACAUUUCACAACGUCAGAUCAGUUAAUUGACGAACAGUCUCACGAAUAUACAAAGAAAGGAAAAAGA